AACGAACGCUGGCGGCAUGCCUAACACAUGCAAGUCGAACGAGACCUUCGGGUCUAGUGGCGCACGGGUGCGUAACGCGUGGGAACCUGCCCUUAGGUUCGGCAUAACUCCCCGAAAGGGGUGCUAAUACCGGAUAAUGUCUUCGGACCAAAGAUUUAUCGCCUUUGGAUGGGCCGGCGUUGGAUUAGCUAGUUGUUAGGGUAAAAGCCUACCAAGGCGACGAUCCAUAGCUGGUCUGUGAGGAUGAUCAGCCACACUGGGACUGAGACACGGCCCAGACUCCUACGGGAGGCAGCAGUGGGGAAUAUUGGACAAUGGGCGAAAGCCUGAUGCAGCAAUGCCGCGUGAGUGAUGAAGGCCUUAGGGUUGUAAAGCUCUUUUACCCGGGAUGAUAAUGACAGUACCGGGAGAAUAAGCUCCGGCUAACUCCGUG
rnacentral:rRNA from 1 species